rnacentral:sRNA from 1 species
AUUGUUUUAUUUUCAAAUGUGAGCAUACAAUGUGCAAAUUUUGUGAUUUUUCCCCCAAACAAAUAAAAAUGGAUGGAUUAAAGGUGUUUUCUCUUCGGCGUCAUGAAUUAACAGUAACUCCACGUGGGUGUUUUGUGAGGAUAUCGUUCAUAUAAAGAAAAUGUGAUUUUGUUUGAAUUUCUUUCCUCGAUGGAAAAUUCGGAGAACAAUCAGUGGGAAUUAUCAUCUUGGGUUCAGUGAGCAGGGUGAAUGACCAUAUUAGAUUUGUAGAUUAUAUAUUUGGACCAUAUUAGAUUUGUAGAUUAUAUAUUUGGGACCAUAUUAGAUUUGUAGAUUAUAUAUUUGGUCCACAAUGAUUGUUUACAGUUGUGCAAAUGCAAGAAAAUUUCGAAUGAACAUUAAAUAUGUUAUAAGAU